AUGGUGGAUCUCUAUGGCCGAGCUGGGCUUAUUGAAGAAGCGCACUCCUUUGUGAAGGUAAUGCCCGUGAAGCCACAUGCAGGUGUCUGGGGAGCAUUGCUCAGUGCCUGCCGGAAGCACUGCAAUGUUGAUGUAGGCGAGGUCGCCGCAAGAGAACUCGUCAGGAUCGAACCCAUGAAUGCUGGCAACUACGUUCUCCUUGCAAACACACUAGCUCGAAGCCAGCGAUGGGAUGUUGUUGAGGAUGUACGGCGACUGAUGAGGGGAAAUGUUGUCGAAAAAGAUAUAGGGCUCAGCUGGGUUGAAGUGGACACUGUUGUUCAUGAGUUCUUGACGGGGGAUUUCAGCCAUCCCAGUUUUAAUCAAAUUUGCAACAUUCUGGAGCAUCUGUAUUUGCAACCGACCUAA
rnacentral:rRNA from 1 species